rnacentral:rRNA from 1 species
UUUUAAAUGAAGACCUGUAUGAAUGGCACGACGAGGGCUUGACUGUCUCCUUUCCCCAGUCAAUGAAAUUGUUUUCCCCGUGCAGAAACGGGGAUAAAUACAUAAGACGAGAAGACCCUGUGGAGCUUUAGAUAAUAAAUAGCCCCUUGUAAACACCCUUCGUAAUAGGUUAGAAUUAGAAGGGGAUCUAUUUUGCUAUCUUUGGUUGGGGCGACCGCGGGGGAACAAAAAGCCCCCACGUGGAAUAAGGACACCUUCUUUCAACCAAGAGCAGCAGCUCGAAGUAACAGAACAUCUGACCUAUAAAGAUCCGCAUAGCCGAUCAACGGACCCAGUUACCCCAGGGAUAACAGCGCAAUCCUCUCCCAGAGCCCGUAUCGACGAGGGGGUUUCACCUCGAUGUUGGAUCAGGACAUCCU